UAUCCUGGCUCAGGAUGAACGCUAGCGGCAGGCUUAAUACAUGCAAGUCGAGGGGCAGCAGGACUGUAGCAAUACAGUUGCUGGCGACCGGCAAACGGGUGCGGAACACGUACGCAACUUACCCUUGUCUGGGGCAUAGCCCACCGAAAGGUGGAUUAACUCCCCAUAAGAUAGUGGUGUGGCAUCACACAGCUAUUAAAUCUCUGGAGGACAGGGAUGGGCGUGCGGCUGAUUAGGUAGUUGGCGGGGUAACGGCCCACCAAGCCUGCGAUCAGUAACUGGUGUGAGAGCACGACCAGUCACACGGGCACUGAGACACGGGCCCGACUCCUACGGGAGGCAGCAGUAAGGAAUAUUGGUCAAUGGACGCAAGUCUGAACCAGCCAUGCCGCGUGGAGGAUGAAGGCCCUCUGGGUUGUAAACUUCUUUUACAGGGGACGAAACACUUCUAUUCUUAGGAGCUUGACGGUACCCUGGGAAUAAGCACCGGCUAACUCCGUG
rnacentral:rRNA from 1 species